rnacentral:lncRNA from 1 species
GUCUCAUUUCAUCCUGCUGGCUCUCUAGCCAUGCAUUUAAUCUCUAUUAUGCUUCUCUUCAUAUUUCAAGCAUCCCUCUGUAGUAACUACUCCCUCUCUGGGAUGAAAAGGCCAAAAAAGAAGCCAGUUCUAUACAAAUGAGAAAGGCCAGGGGGAAAAAAGGUUACAGAGUAACAACAAAAAAGGAAAUUCAGCAAAAUGUUUUGCUGACAGCUCAAGGUGAUACACACACACUGGUCAUGGAGUAGCCAGAGCAGUAGUCCUGGACGUGACUGCUAAUACACCGACUUAAGUGAGGAGAGAGACCUAGCAAUCUCAACUGCAUCUGUACACCAGGGAGUGGAAUUAUGAAGCAAACUGCCAUGAAAUUUCAUAGCAACUAUUCUGUUCUGCCAGCUGUAACAAGAAUUCAUUGCUGAAAAAGUGUCACACACUCAUCUGUCACUAACGGCCAAGCUGCCAGCAACUGACUAAGAGCAGCAAAGGGCAGCUGUACAUCUUCCUCUCACAAGGUCUAUCCACCAUUCAAAACAUGGGAUUUAUAAGGAAAAGUCCC